GGCUGAGGCUGCAUCCGCGGUAAUCCCGGGCGAAACACUCUGAUUAAAGGGAUUACCCCUGAAACUAAUUUCAAAGGCUGGGAUAGACCAGACGAGAGCCGCGAGGGAAGAGGGGCGAGGA